rnacentral:rRNA from 1 species
AGUGAACGCUGGCGGUAGGCCUAACACAUGCAAGUCGAACGGCAGCACAGUAAGAGCUUGCUCUUACGGGUGGCGAGUGGCGGACGGGUGAGGAAUACAUCGGAAUCUACUUUUUCGUGGGGGAUAACGUAGGGAAACUUACGCUAAUACCGCAUACGACCUACGGGUGAAAGCAGGGGAUAUUAGGACCUUGCGCGAUUGAAUGAGCCGAUGUCGGAUUAGCUAGUUGGCGGGGUAAAGGCCCACCAAGGCGACGAUCCGUAGCUGGUCUGAGAGGAUGAUCAGCCACACUGGAACUGAGACACGGUCCAGACUCCUACGGGAGGCAGCAGUGGGGAAUAUUGGACAAUGGGCGCAAGCCUGAUCCAGCCAUACCGCGUGGGUGAAGAAGGCCUUCGGGUUGUAAAGCCCUUUUGUUGGGAAAGAAAAGCAGCAGGUUAAUACCCCGCUGUUCUGACGGUACCCAAAGAAUAAGCACCGGCUAACUUCGUG